rnacentral:miRNA from 1 species
GUCUAGAGGGAAGCACUUUCUG